rnacentral:lncRNA from 1 species
AUAUUCAUAAACUAAAGCUUAAUCUUAGGCGUUGCUAAACAAAAUUGAAAAUAUGGAGAAAUUCAUUGUCAUUGUAGAUAUAUCCAACAGGUUCCAAGGUCAAUCCCCCACUUCAUGUGCAAAACAUGUUAAAGGUAAGAACUUUUUAGAGAGUACAAAAUCAUAUUUUCUCAAUCUCAAUUUAUGCGACAGUGCUUGAAUUUCAAGACCUAAAUAAAUUUUACUUUGAUCGCACUUUUUCAAAUAUUUUUUUAAAUAUUUUAAAUUGUUAAUUAUUAUGACUUAUAAUACUUUUUAACAUAAUUUUUUAUAUAAAUUUAAUUUGUUAAAAGUGAGAAAAAUCUAUAUCCGAAUUCAUAACUAAAAUUAAAAAGUUUGACUCUUUGAAAUUAUGCAUAAACAUAAUGUAUUAAUUCAACAGAACUAAGUAUGGGCGUAAGUUUCCUCCUGCUAUUUAUCUAAUAUGUUGUAUUAAAACCUGCAAAACUUUUCUUACUUAUCUUUUCGGAGCUUGGAGGCUAUUCAAUUUAGUUUCACUAAGGCUGAAAGCAGGCCACUUCUAUAAUCACAACAAACAAAAAGCAGAACAGAGAAGUAAAUUACAAAGCUAAGAAAAAAUUGCAUAACAGAGACAAAAAAACAAUGCAGAAUAGUUAAAGAAGUAUAAAAUAGAGGGGGGAAAUGCACAACAGAGACAAAACACAUAGCAGAUGCUUGUAUUAACCAAAUUUUAUCUAAAGGAAUUAAAUUUUAAGCAGUGUCAAGAACUAGUGAGACGACUCAUCCAACAUAUGAAAACCAAAUGCGAGAUCACUAAACCAAUAUUCAAAUUUUCAACAAAAUUGACAUUAAGCAGAGGAAAAGUAUACUAACUUGCAACUUCACAUCUACAACGCAACAUAAAACAUAAAGAGGGAGGUUAUAAGUUAUGGACAAGUACUCACGAAAUAGUACGAGAAAUUAGAAAAACUUAAAGUUAUAUAUCUUCUGUUUGAUAUUUUCAGCCUCCAUGAAAUAAUCAGAUGGCCCAUAAAUUCCUUGUAUCUGAUAAAUUUAAAGGUUAAAACUCAUCACUAGUUUUGCAGAGCCCCAACAUAUUUGGCUUUAUCAAAAGAUCUAGUUUGGAUACAUUCUUUCAAGAAUUUAGAAGCCCCCAUGAAAACAAGUUACAGAGCUUAGGAUGUUAGAAAAUACAAUAAAGCACAAGAGUUUUUGAUCAGGUAACAAUUUCAUUGAUCACAAGGUCAAAGUUGAUUGUAUACAAAAAAUAUAUCAAGGAGUAAACAACAUACAAAAAAGACAUGAUCCUCUACAAAAGACACCCAAAAUCCUCUAAACAAUACUAAAUAAGGAAGCAAAUUUUACUCCUUUAUCACUAUCAAGUCACAUUAGAGCCACUAAAUUUCAUACGAAACCAAAACAAUUAAGCAAGAUGGUCAGGAUCUUGUUAGCAACUACAGAAAUAGACUAUAAUAACAUGAAAAUGAUUUAACUUAUACACUGACAUCAUGCAACUUAGGCAACAAAUAUAUUCAAAGGUGUUUUUGCUCAACUGAUUUUUUAAAGCAAGGUAGACAUGAAUGCUCUUAUAGCAGUCUAAUCCUUUUCAACAAUAAUAAGUUCAAUUCUAAAUGCAUAAUUCUUCAUUCGACUAUGAAAUUUUCAACUACCCAUUCCACACAGUAUUUAAGUCCUCAUUUGAUGUUAUUCAUAAUAUCAAAUCCACCACCUCUAUAAAAAUGACCCAACAACUUUCACAAAAACUCAAAUCUAAAUCUGAAGGAAAUAAAACUACCCAAGGUAAUAAUAUAUGCACAAGUAAAAGACCCAACAAUGGUUAUAUAAAAGAGACUUAUUAAUCUACAAAUAGUAGGUAGGAGCCUUUAUUCAAUAACUCUUGUAUUUUUGUACAUUGAGUAUAUCUCUCUACUACUUGAAUGUAUCUCUCUACUAUAUUGAAUAUAUGUAAUAAAGCACCCCUAUUUAUAAUACUAACAACCAAAGUAAACUAGGACUAACAAAUUAUAAUUAAACAUAAAUAAAGUAAAUAUCAUAAAUAACAAAUCCUAAACUAUUAAGGAAUUCUAAACUACUUAGGAAUCCUACUGUUCGUUUAUUUCCUACAUAGCCUCUCUUAAACCAAGAUCUUCAAAUAUGACCAUGCCUAGCAUCUUCUUCAACUUUAUGAACAACUCCAAUUUUAAUGGCUUUGUGAAAAUAUCAGCAACUUGUUCUUCGGUCUUGCAAUAUUCAAUCAUUAUCUCUUUAUCAUGGACCAAGUCACGAAUGAAGUGUCAUUUGAUGUCAAUGUGUUUGCUAUGACCAUGAAAAACUGGAUUCUUUGUAAACGCAACUGCAGGCUUGCUAUAACAAAAUAUUUUUGUAGGACUAUCUUGCUUGUGUUGAAGAAAUCGAAGCAUCCUUGUCAACCAUAAUGCUUGUGUAGCACUACUUGUUGCAAUCAUAUACUCUGUUUCAGCAGUUCAUAAAGCAACAACUUGUUGUUUCUUUGAAGACCAUGAAAAUACACUAGAUCCCAAAUAAAAUGUAUAGCCAGAAGUACUUUUUCUUUGCAUCAUAUCACUAGCCCAAUCACUAUCAGUUAAUCCAACAAGAUUACUAUCAUUAGUAUUUGAAUAAAAUAUGUCAUCAGAGUGUGUACCUUAAAUAUAUCUCAAAAUUCUCUUGACGGCUUGCAAGUGAGAUUGACACGGAAACUCCAUAAAUCUACUAAUUAAUCCAACUUCAUAAGUAAUAUCAUGCCUUGUAGAAGUCAAGUAUCUUAGACUCCCUACCAAUUUUCUAAAUUAUGUAGCAUCAACAAAAUCGUGUGUGCCAUCUUUGGUCAACUUCAAUCUCUCUUUAGCAGAAUUCAAGAUCAAUUUGACUUUCUUCAUAUUUAAUAUUUUAAAAAUAUCAUCAUCAUUAUUUUUUCUUUUCUUGUAUUCUUGAAUAACCAUUAUUGCCUUAAAAUCAUCUGCUUCUCCAAUUGGUUUGUAGUUGGUCUUGCAUGUCCAUUCGACUUCAGUUGAUCGUGUAUGUGGUAUCACUACAAAAAAAAUCAGCAUUUAGCGACAAAUUCUAGCAACGAACAAAUUUUUAUCGGAAAAAUAACGACGGAUUAGCUGCAAAUUUACAAUUACGUCACUAAAAAAAACUAAAAGUAAAUGAACAUCAUAUGCAGUGAUAGACUAGCGACGAAAUAUCAAAUUUGUUGCCAAAUUUGGUGCCAAUUUUACGUGCCAUAAAUUUAACUACAAAAUUAGCAACAAAUGGAUGGCGAUAUAAUUAUUUAGAAUUUUUAUACGCCAUUUUAAUCGGGUCAAAAUAGUGUAUAACAUUUUGGUGAUUCCUAAAUUAAUUGUCUAAGUAAAGGAGUCGCCACCUAAUUAUUACAGUGAAUUAGGGCACCUAAAAUUAAUUAAAGUCUUUGUCUAAAUUUAACUCCAUUUUAAACAUGAGAAUCUAGGUACAUGUUCAAUUAAUCUAAUGGAAAGGAAUGAGGCAUCCUGUAACACCCCGGAAUUUAGUGAGUUGAACUAGUGGGUUCUAGAGCCUUUUGUAAGAGGUUUGGAGUGUCGUAUGAGGAUUAGAGAUUGUAAAAACGAUUUCCGUACUUAUAAUAGGGGUUUAAGGGUUAGGGCGUCAAGGUACGACCCCCUAAGGACAACCUAAGGGGUCCUUGAGGAGGACCUCAAGACAGCCCAAAAAGCUAUUUUUUGGCAGCAACCUACGCAUGGCCACCUACUGGCCGUAGGUGGACCCACACCUCGUAGGUUGGGGUCGUGGGUUAAGGUUGGGGUGGCCUGCAAGUCCUUAGCCUCAGGUGCAAACCACGAUGGUGCAGCACGAUCCGUCAUCCCAACUACGGUCCGUAGGUGGGGGUUCGUAGGUCCUAGCAGUUUUUGGACUUGAAGUUAUGCCAUAUGUUCCAAUCAUGUAUAGCUUGGCUUAGUAGGAUAAGACCAAGGUUGAUAGCUUGGGAUGGAGGAUCUAUACUCUCGUAAGGGAUAGCUUGACUUAGCAUUGUAGAAUGCAUGUCAUGGUAGCAUGAGUUAGUAGUAGUCAUGGUAGCCUGGGAUUGAGGAUUUACACUCUCCUAUGGGUAGCUUAAACUGGCAUUCACUACAAAAAAAACUUGAUUUAGCGACGGAUUUUAGCUACAAAGAGAUUUCCAUCGCUAAAUAGCGACGGAUUAGCAACCAAAUUUUAAUUAUGUCACUAAUAAGGCAAAAAUAUAUUUGACAUCAAAUUUAGCUACGGAUUAACGACGGAAAUAUAAAUCCGUCACUAAAUUGUGGAGCUAAAUUUUUGCGCUCUCAUGCUAGCUACAAAAAUUAGCAACAAAAAUCAUGCGACAAAACUUAUUAAAUGUUAGCUACGGAAGUAGUGACGGAAUAUCUGUCGCUAGUAUAUUUUAUUAAUUAAAAUAUUUUAAUAUUAGUUUCUAGAAAAAUAAAUUCUACUAUUCUAGGGCACGGUGACUUCAUUUUCUCGCUACUCUCGUUCUCAUCAUAAAAGCCUGAAAUCAUAAACACCAUCGGUGUCUUUUUCGUUGCCACCUCUCCGACAAGUCGCUCCUCUCCAAUGCUUGACCAUCUCUAGCUGCUCAUCCCUUAGUUUAUAGGGUUUUAGAAGUCUUUAUUUUCAUCUCAGGUAAAGUGUAUUUCUUUGCAUUCGAUUAGUUAUUCUUUUAUUCGAGUUUAAUUUUAAUCUCAUCAUCUUUUUUAUUUCUAAUAUCAGAGUUUCGGUAAUGUUCUCUAAGAAUCUUCACUAUUUUUACUUCGUAGAGUUGGAAUUUGGGUAAGAACUCUAUAGCUUAAUCUUCGAUCCGAGCAAAAAAGGUGCAUAAAUACGAUUCUAUUUUUUCAUUUAAGCAAUUUCUCUAUUUAUGGACAUUACAUGCUUCAGCUAACUCAGGUUUUCAUUGUUUCCAUCUAUUUGGCAUUUUUUUGUUUAAUCAAAGUUAAAUUUAUGAAACACCCAAAGAACUUUUCAAAGGAUUUAAAGCAAAUCCGAUCCCCAAAAUUUGAAAUUACAACCUAUUCUUAGUGAUUCUUAUGGUAGUUUCCUUCGAGUUAGUGAUUUUAAUAGUAAUUACUCACUGAGUUCCCUUCGAGUUAGUGAUUCUUAUAGUAAUUACUCACUGAGUUUCCUUCGAGUUGAAAAAGAUUGACUCAUUGUUGCUAUUAUCCAUGUCCUUCUUUAGAGUUGAAAAUGAUCAACUCGGAUAGGCUAAUCUAUCAAUUCACGUCUUCUUAGAAGAACUACAGCUUAUUUGAACUUCAUCCUUCAUCAAGUUGUUAUUCUCCGUCUAUCUAAUCCUCUCAUUGUACUAACCUAAGGGCAAGUAUUUUAGCUUAGAGAAGUGUAUAUUUUGUUCCACACUUUCAAGGAAAGUAUGAAUUACUAUAUUCUUGUAUGUGAUUUUUAUUUGAAGAGGAAGGAAGUUUGAUCGUCCAAGGUUGAACAACAGGAGCUUGUAGUUAUUGAUGAACUGGGAACAAACACCUGCUGUGAAUGAACACUGCACCACCCGAACUUUCUUUUGAAAUUUUAGUAAGUUGCUAAACACCAAUUUCUCUUAGAAUUUUUUGUUGGUUGCGAAAAGAACAAUCUGAACAAAGAAUUAGGGAGUUUUAAUUAGUUUAUUGAACUAGAAAUCAAUUGAUGUUUAUUGUUGUAAUUCAAAGUUAAAAGGGUUGUAUUUUUAAAUAAGCUAAAUUGAGGGUGGACAACUUGUAGCCUUAACAAUAAAAUUUUUGAACCUAUUAGUUAAUGCAGAUUGUUGGUCUACGCAUUAAAAUGAUGAGUAAAAUUAGCUAAUGCAGAUUGUUGACGUGAAAAAGAUGCGUUAACUUUACAUAUUUUCUUUAAACUUUUGGACUUUCUUGGAUUUCUUAAGUAAGCUUAUUGAAUUAUUAUUUAUUCGUUAGAUGGAACAAAUAAGGACCGCGUUUAUUGUUUCUGAUCAUUUACUUAUUAUUUUACAUGCUUCAUAUAUUUUGGGAACUUUGCAUCUCUACCAAGUAUAGUGAGAUAUAAAUUACAAUAUGUCAGCCACUUUUUCCUACUCUUUAACUAUAUGAAAGCAUGGCAGACACAUCUUUGUUUUUAAGAUUCCUUUUGACAUGAUCUAGAUUUCUUGUUAUGUUAACCACUAAGGCUGGUCAAUUACUUUAUCUUACAUUGUUACUCCAAAAGACUACUCAGUGAUUUAUGUUGUUCUUUGUGAUUUUAGGUAAUGCCCCCACUAUGGUGCAGGUUGGAUAGGUUGUGGUUUGGACAUCCUAACAUUCUGUCGGGUUCUUUGGCAAGAUCCCUCAUUGUUUGACUUCUCAGUCGUGUUUGGAGGUAAAUAUUUCAUUUUUAAAGUGAUAAUAUUCAGAUGGCCUUACCCGAUGACAAGAAAAUAGUAACUAAAAGCAAAGAAAUAACUAACAGGAUAAAUUGUUCUGUGUGAAAGCCUAUGAAGUACUUUUACAUUAUUUUUUGUGUAAGAUCACUCUGAGAUGUGAAUGUGGCAUUCCUGAAGUUUUAAUACAUGUGUCUUGAUAAUUCGAAGUUAAAAGUCGAUUUGGUCGUUCUCCUGUUAUUAUAAAGGUCAACCUGGUGCACGAAGUAUGUUGGUGUUCAUUGUGUUUCGAAUGUGAUGAAUAAUUUUCAUGUUCAUUUUUCUUUCAAUAGUAUCAUGGAUCACUUUCAGCACAUCAUAUCUAACAUAAAAUCUUUCAAAAUACCAAAUGUGUAAGGCAUAUUGCUGAAAAUUAUCAUUGAUUUGCUAUAGAUUUAUUUUUGCUAGAGCUUACUGGUGAAAAAUAAGGCAUGGAUACUUGACAUUGGUUGAUGUUCUUUGAUAUUCAUAGCAAACCUGAAGUGCACUUCAUUGAACUCUUCUUUACUAUUUCUUGCACUUAGCUUUGCCAUGAAAAAAUCAAGUGUAUUUGUUUACAAUUUUUUUGAUUUACCAAUUUUAUUUUACCAAGAAACUCAAAGAAGAAUUUUGAGAACUUCUAGUACCUUAUAGAUCACAUGCAUAUCUAGUUGUUGGAUUAAAUAAAUGUACAAAUUAUUUUAAGUUCUCACUUACUUUUAUUUACAGGAUAAAGAGUUCAAUAGUUGCUCUGCUCAAGAAUUGUUAGAGCAACAGUCAUCAUAACAACAAUUAUAGCAGGAUGAGAUAGAUGUUGCAACUUGGAUGUAUUACGAGAUCGUGGAAGAAGUGAUGGAGAGAAGAGUUUAUGACCUUGGGUUUCAAGAGAAACUGGAUUAUGACUAGGAUCCUACUUUUGAUCCAAAUGAACAUCUCUCGAACACCACAUUAGUUAGCUUUGUCCUUAAGGCUCUAUUUAAUUAGUCGAAGAAUUGUUAAUGCUUUAAGAUUUAUGUAUUUUUGGAUCUACUUGUUAAUCAUUACUAUUAUUUCUAAAAAAAUUAGGUUCUUUUCGUGCGUAUUCAAUAUUAGUAUUACUUUUCAUUUAUAUGUUUUACUUGGAUUUUGAAAUUAUUUUGUAGCUAAAUAUAAAAUUAAUAAUAGUAUUUUACAAAUAGCGACGGAAUAGCUACAAAAUUUUUUAGCCAAAAUUUCUUAACGACGAAAUCAAUAACGUAACUAGCGACAAAUAUUUUAUGUAUUAGCUACGGAAACAAUUUGUAGCUAAUAGUAGCGACGAAAUUUACGUCGCUGAUCCGUAGCUAAACGUCGCAACGGAUUUUAAAUAUUCGUCGCUAAAGGCUUAGCUACGAGAAUUUUACCGACGGAUGAUAUUGCGUCGCUAAUCGGUCGCUAACCAGUUAUAACGACGGAUUAUGUUGUUUAGCGACGGAUUUUGUGCGUUGCUAAAACCAGAAUUUUUUGUAGUGAUUGUUAGGAUGCCUUCAUGGUAGCUUGACUUGCAGAGGCAUAUCCAAGAUUUUGAGAUAAUGGGUGCACAAUUAUAAAAAGGUUGAUCUAUGAUAUAAAUUUGAUCGGUUCGACAUUUAGAUUUUUACUAUUGAAAACUGUUAAUUUUUUAAAAUUAUAGGUCUAAAAUUAAUUCUUAUAUAUAUAUACACACACACACACACCAAUUACCACUUAGAGAAGUGUUAUCUAAUUUUAGAAAGAUAAAUAUAAAUUUUAAAUUUCUAACCUCGCGGAGAGAGGUGCACCCAGUCAUAAUCGCAUUAUGUGAUACUUCAAGUGUGGGUUCACACAUCUAUAUUUCAAUAUUUUUUCAAAAAUAUAACACUACAAUAUAUGAUCUCGGGAGGGGACCAUGGGUUCACGUGAAACUGGUGACCCCUCCUUAGAUACACCUCUAUUGACUUGGUUUGGCCAAGAUUUGGGAUAGAGGACUUAUACUCUCCUAAAGGUAGCUUAGGAUUGAGGAUCCAUACUCUUCUAAGGAUAGCUUGACCUUGCAUUGUAAGAUGCAUGUCAAGGAUAGCUUGAAUUAGGUUAGUCAUGGUAGCUUGGGAUUGAGGACUCAUACUCUCCUAAGGAUAGCUUAGGAUUGAGAAUCAUACUCUCCUAAGGAUAGCUUGCAUUGUACUAUGGUAUACUUGUAAGGAUAGCAUGACUUAGUUGGUUUAAGACUAUUUCAUGGUAGCUAGGAUAGGACACUUGUACCUUUCCUAGAGUAGCUUGGACUUGCAUGAUAGUGUGUCUUCCAAGGUAGUUAGCUUAGCUUAACCUAGUUAUAUUAGUAAAAUGAUAGCAUGGUCUAGCCUAUUAGGGGGCUAUUCAUUGGUAGCCUUGAAGAGGUAUAUAGAAUAGAGGGAUUAGUCCCCAAUUAGUGAACAUUCAUGAUAGUUUAAAGGAGUACUUUGUGUGGGUAGUAGUAUGGGAUGCAAUCCAUACAUGGCACAAGUAUGACUUGAGGCUAGUUGUGAAGGGUUCCCUUAUGUAGUAUGACUUAGCUUGGAUUGUUGCCAUAGUUUCCUUCCAAGAUAUGAUUGACUAAGGUGGUAGUUCCCUUGUCUAUAGGAAGUAAGCUAAUAGUAAGACCAAAAGGAGGGUGAGUAUGACUAAUAUGACUUCAAGGCUACGCUUAGUGUGAAGGGUAGUAUGGAUGCCUUUCAUGCAUUGCACAAGUGUGUCUUGAGGUUACUUAGGAGUAUAGUACCCUUAUGGUAAAAAUGACCAAGAGUCUAUUAUGAUUAUAUGAUUAUGAGUUGUCUCCUAUGCUCAUUAACUAUGUCUUAUGUUGACUUAUGUUUAUAUGAGGCUUAUGUUGGAGACCAUGCUAUGAUUAUGAUGAUUAUGUUAUGACUAUGUUAUUAUCUCUUAUGCUUAUGUCUUAUGUUGACUAACCAUUUUGAGAUGCUCUUAUGAUGUUGUGCUAGCUUUCAUACUUGGUACAUUUUGUACUAACGCAUAUUGCCUACAUUCUAAUCAAAUAUUCUAAUCAAAUGUAGGGUUGAGGAGAUUGAGUUGCUUUGAACGCUAGGUUUCCAAGGAUCUAGAAGAGUUGAAGAAUUGGUGAGUCCUCAUAGCUUCGAGGACAAACCCUUAUUUCCUUUAUGUCAUUUCUUUAUGUUUUUAGACUUUGUAUGUGCUGCGUCCCAAGAGUUUUAUUCAAGAGUUAUGUUAGAUGGUUUGAGACAAAGGUUUUAGUAAAGACUUCCGCUUGCUUGUAUGAAAUUUGACUUUGAUUCAUGUAAAUUUUUUAAAUUGUUUCGUAUUUUGUUUCUAUUACCUAUGUUAUGAUGCUAAGGGCUUAUAUGA